rnacentral:rRNA from 1 species
GUAGGGACCAAGCGUUAUCCGGAAUUAUUGGGCGUAAAGGGUGCGUAGGCGGCCAUAUAAGUCUAAGUUAAAAGCCCACAGCUUAACUGUGGAAGGUGCUUAGAAACUGUAUGGCUUGAAUUCAGAAGAGGCAAGUGGAAUUCUAUGUGGAGCGGUGGAAUGCGUAGAUAUAUGGAGGAACACCAGUGGCGAAGGCGGCUUGCUGGGCUGAUAUUGACGCUGAUGCACGAAAGCGUGGGGGGAGCAAACAGGAUUAGAUACCCUGGUAGUCCACGCCCGUAAACGAUGAGUACUAAGUGUUGGAGAAAUUCAGUGCUGAACUUAACAGAUUAAGUACUCCGCCUGGGAUUACGACCGCAAGGUUG